rnacentral:rRNA from 1 species
GGGGAAUUUUGGACAAUGGGCGCAAGCCUGAUCCAGCCAUGCCGCGUGAGUGAUGAAGGCCCUAGGGUUGUAAAGCUCUUUUGUCGCGGAAGAAAUCUUCUGAGUUAAUACCUCGGGAGAAUGACGGUACCGCAAGAAUAAGCCCCGGCUAACUUCGUGCCAGCAGCCGCGGUAAUACGAAGGGGGCUAGCGUUGCUCGGAAUCACUGGGCGUAAAGGGUGCGUAGGCGGGUCUUUAAGUCAGGGGUGAAAUCCUGGAGCUCAACUCCAGAACUGCCUUUGAUACUGAAGAUCUUGAGUUCGGGAGAGGUGAGUGGAACUGCGAGUGUAGAGGUGAAAUUCGUAGAUAUUCGCAAGAACACCAGUGGCGAAGGCGGCUCACUGGCCCGAUACUGACGCUGAGGCACGAAAGCGUGGGGAGCAAACAGGAUUAGAUACCCUGGUAG